GAGUUUGAUCUUGGCUCAGAUUGAACGCUGGCGGCAUGCCUAACACAUGCAAGUCGAACGGCAGCACUGGGAGCUUGCUCCCUGGUGGCGAGUGGCGGACGGGUGAGUAACGCGUAGGAAUCUGCCUCAUAGGCGGGGGACAACGUCGGGGAAACUCGAGCUAAUACCGCAUACUACUCGAGGAGGGGAAAGCGAGGGGACCUUCGGGCCUUGCACUAUGAGAUGAGCCUGCGUUGGAUUAGCUAGUUGGUAGGGUAAAGGCCUACCAAGGCGACGAUCCAUAACUGGUUUGAGAGGAUGACCAGUCACACUGGGACUGAGACACGGCCCAGACUCCUACGGGAGGCAGCA
rnacentral:rRNA from 1 species